UAUACAGCAAAACGUGGGAUGUUAAUAAAUGUUUAUUUUCCCAUUACUUUCAAAAGGGAUUUGUUUUAAAUAGAUUCAUCAUAAACGAGCAACAAGCAAAAAGUCAAUAUGCUGGAAUUGAUGGGAUGAAGAUUAUGGACAUUGUUAAGUUUUCUAGGAGCCUGGUUUUUAAGUUAGCCAAGAUGAAAAAAGUGAAGAAACCCUCCCAAAGAUGUUGGAAAGUGGAGGGCAUAGUUUAAAGAGGGAUACGAAGUUCUUGUUAAGUUUGGAGAGGAAUAUAAAAGAGGAUCCCACUAAGUCGAUAAAUUGCCUCGCCAACGAAUUCUUUGUAGCACCUAGGAACAUAAGGAGUGAUAUAAAGCACAACUUCAUAUGAUUUUCUUUCACAAGGAUCCCAAACCACCUUCAUACCGAGGGCAUGAAAGCCAGGAGGCUCGAGAGGUGCAAGAAAAUCGUCACAUGGAUCAAGGCAAAUGUGUCAAUUAUAAAAAUUUUCUCCGAUUAGAAACUUUUCACAGUUGAUCAAUUCUACAAACAGCGGAACGACUGCUGGAUUUCGGAAACAAAAGAUGACGUCCAAAGAGUUUACCACACCAAAUAUCCAUCCCAAAAAAUGGUUGUCGGCGUUGUGGCCUCUGAUGGAAAGAAUAUGUCUCCCUUUUUUUCAAGGUUGGACAGAAAAUCGGUCAGGAGACCACUAUAAGUUGCUUAAGUACACUAUUUUGCCAUGGCUGAAGACUAACUAUCCGCAGGGUAAAUACAUGUGGACUAGUUUUAGUUUUAAGGAAAGUGUAAGGUUGAGCAGGAUUCCCAAAACGCCCCUGAUGCUUUGCUUUCAGCACAUCUCUCAUUUUACAUUAUCACGCAACCAUUCAUUCGAAAAGACACUAUAUUCACUGGGUUUUUAGAUAAUUUUUUCAAACUUACUGAAUAACUGUUGGAAAUUUUUCGCAGAAGAGCUAAUUUUAAUUUUAACAAUCAACGUUUAGACCACUGAUAACGAGAAAAACAAGUAGAAAAAUAUAGAUAUUUUUGUGCUAUUGAAGUAACGCCUUGGUGAAGUAGGGAACUAUAAGAAUUAUUAUAAUUUUCCGGACAUUAUUGUAAAUAUACUAAAUUAAAUUUCA
rnacentral:lncRNA from 1 species